rfam:Dipodomys ordii contig_55260, whole genome shotgun sequence.
GGGAAUGUGGCUUAGUGGUAGAGUGCUUGCCUGCAAUGCGAGAAGCUCUGGAUUUGAUUCCUCAGUACCA